rnacentral:rRNA from 1 species
CCUACGGGUGGCAGCAGUGGGGAAUAUUGCACAAUGGGGGAAACCCUGAUGCAGCGACGCCGCGUGAGUGAAGAAGUAAUUCGUUACGUAAAGCUCUAUCAGCAGGGAAGAAACACUGACCUUACGGUCAGCAGACGGUACCUGAGUAAGAAGCCCCGGCUAACUACGUGCCAGCAGCCGCGGUAAUACGGAGGAUGCGAGCGUUAUCCGGAUUUAUUGGGUUUAAAGGGGGCGUAGGCGGACUGGAAAGUCAGCGGUAAAAUCGAGAGGCUCAACCUCUUUCCGCCGUUGAAACUGGCGGUCUUGAGUGGGCGAGAAGUAUGCGGAAUGCGUGGUGUAGCGGUGAAAUGCAUAGAUAUCACGCAGAACUCCGAUUGCGAAGGCAGCAUACCGGCGCCCGACUGACGCUGAGGCACGAAAGCGUGGGUAUCGAACAGGAUUAGAUACCCUGGUAGUC